rnacentral:lncRNA from 1 species
AAUUUCAUAGGUUUAACAACAACAUUUUCAUCAUGCACACAAUUCAAUUAAAUUUCAUGGGUUUAACAAUAACAUUUUCAUCAUUCACACAAUUCAAUCAAAUUUCAUGGGUUUAACAUCAACAUUUACAUCAUUCCCACAAUUCAAUCAAAUUUCAUGGGUAUAACAUCAACAUUUCAUCAUUUCCAUAAUUCAAUCAAAUUUCAUAGGUUUAACAACAACGUAUUCAUCAUUCACACAAUCCAAUAUAAUUUCCUAGGUUUACCAACCUCAUUUUCAUCAUGCACACAAUUCAAUUCAAUUUCAAGGGUUUAACAACAACAUUUUCAUUAUUCCCACAAUUCAAUCAAAUUUCAUGGGUUUAACAUCAUCAUUUUUAUCAUUCCCAUAAUUCAAUCAAAUCUUAUGGUUUAACAAUAAUAUUUUCAUUAUUCACACAAUUCACUCAAAUUUCAUGGGUUUAACAAUAACAUUUUCAUCAUUCCCACAAUUCAAUCAAAUUUCAUGGGUUUAACAACAACAUUUUC